CAGCGCCACAAGUGGCAAUCGCGAUUAUUGGGCCUAAAGCGUCCGUAGCCGGUUUGGCAAAUCUUUUGUGAAAUCGUUAAGCUUAACUUGGCGACUGGCAGAAGACACUACCAAACUUGGAACCGGGAGGGGUCUGAAGUAUUCCAAGGGGACCGGUAAAAUGGGAUAAUCCUUGGAGGACUACCGAUGGCGAAGGCAUCAGACCAGAACGGAUUCGACGGUGAGGGACGAAAGCCAGGGGAGCAAACCGGAUUAGAUACCCGAGUAGUCC
rnacentral:rRNA from 1 species